rnacentral:rRNA from 1 species
CAACAGGGAUUGCCCUAGUAACGGCGAGUGAAGCGGCAACAGCUCAAAUUUGGAAUCUGGCCCCCUUGGGGCCCGAGUUGUAAUUUGUAGAGGGUGCUUCGGCGUUGGCCCCGGCCCAAGUUCCUUGGAACAGGGCGUCGCAGAGGGUGAGAACCCCGUACAUGGCUGAUGGGCCCUCGCCGUGUGAAGCCCCUUCGACGAGUCGAGUUGUUUGGGAAUGCAGCUCUAAAUGGGAGGUAAAUUUCUUCUAAAGCUAAAUACUGGCCAGAGACCGAUAGCGCACAAGUAGAGUGAUCGAAAGAUGAAAAGCACUUUGGAAAGAGAGUCAAAAAGCACGUGAAAUUGUUGAAAGGGAAGCGCUUGCAGCCAGACUUGCCCGCGGUCGCUCAUCCAGGCUCCUUGCCUGGUGCACUCUUCCGUGGGCAGGCCAGCAUCGGUCCGGGCGGUUGGAUAAAGGUCUUGGGAAUGUGGCUCUCUUCGGGGAGUGUUAAGCCCAGGGCGCAAUGCAGCCAGCCUGGACCGAGGUCCGCGCUCCUGCCAGGAUGCUGGCGUAAUGGCCGCAAGCGGCCCGUCUUGAAACACGGACCAAGGAGUCUAACAUCUGUGCGAGUGUUUGGGUGUCAAGCCCGGGCGCGAAAUGAAAGUGAACGGAGGUGGGAACCCUCGGGUGCACCAUCGACCGAUCCUGAUGUCUUCGGAUGGAUUUGAGUAAGAGCAUAGCUGUUGGGACCCGAAAGAUGGUGAACUAUGCCUGAAUAGGGUGAAGCCAGAGGAAACUCUGGUGGAGGCUCGCAGCGGUUCUGACGUGCAAAUCGAUCGUCAAAUUUGGGCAUAGGGGCGAAAGACUAAUCGAA